GACGAACGCUGGCGGCGUGCCUAAUACAUGCAAGUUGAGCGCUGAAGGUUGGUACUUGUACCAACUGGAUGAGCAGCGAACGGGUGAGUAACGCGUGGGGAAUCUGCCUUUGAGCGGGGGACAACAUUUGGAAACGAAUGCUAAUACCGCAUAAAAACUUUAAACACAAGUUUUAAGUUUGAAAGAUGCAAUUGCAUCACUCAAAGAUGAUCCCGCGUUGUAUUAGCUAGUUGGUGAGGUAAAGGCUCACCAAGGCGAUGAUACAUAGCCGACCUGAGAGGGUGAUCGGCCACAUUGGGACGGAGACACGGCCCAAAGUCCUACGGGAGGCAGCAGUAGGGAAUCUUCGGCAAUGGACGAAAGUCUGACCGAGCAACGCCGCGUGAGUGAAGAAGGUGUUCGGAUCGUAAAACUCGGUUGGUAGAGAAGAACGUUGGUGAGAGUGGAAAGCGCAUCAAGUGACGGUAACUACCCAGAAAGGGACGGCUAACUACGU
rnacentral:rRNA from 1 species